rnacentral:sRNA from 1 species
AGUUAAACCUGAUGGCAGCGAAAAUCCUUUUUGCAGGUUCCGUCCUUUUGUAAAAUGCAGAGGCUUCGACAAGCUCAGCCUGACAAUUAUUAAAGUCACUGCCAACAAAAAGAUUGCAGCGCACAGCAGGACUACAG